rnacentral:rRNA from 1 species
GACGAACGCUGGCGGCGUGCUUAACACAUGCAAGUCGAACGGAAAGGCCCUGCUUUUGUGGGGUGCUCGAGUGGCGAACGGGUGAGUAACACGUGAGUAACCUGCCCUUGACUUUGGGAUAACUUCAGGAAACUGGGGCUAAUACCGGAUAGGAGCUCCUGCUGCAUGGUGUGGGUUGGAAAGUUUCGGCGGUUUGGGUUGGACUCGCGGCUUAUCAGCUUGUUGGUGGGGUUGUGGUUUAGCAAGGCUUGGGCGGGUAGCCAGCCUGAGAGGGUGACCGGCCACAUUGGGCCUGGGAUGCGGCCCAGACUGCUACGGCAGGCAGCGGUGGGAAAUAUUGCGAGCUGGGCGGCAGCCGGAUGCAGCAACGCCGCGUCCGGAAUGACGGCCUUCGGGGUGUAACCCGCGUUCGCCUGUGACGAAGCGAGAGUGACGGUAAUGGGUAAAGAAGCACCGGCUAACUACGUG